GCCCAGGUGGCGGAAUCUUGGUAGACGCCUUGGACUUAAAAUCCAAUGGAGGGCGACCUCCGUACCGGUUCGAGUCCGGUCCUGGGCACAA
rnacentral:tRNA from 3 species